rnacentral:rRNA from 1 species
AGAAUCAACGCUGGCGGCGUGCCUAACACAUGCAAGUCGAACGCGAAAGUCCCGAAAGGGAUUAGUAGAGUGGCAAACGGGUGAGUAACACGUGGGUGACCUGCCUUCGAGCGGGGGAUAACGUCCCGAAAGGGACGCUAAUACCGCAUAACAUCCUGCCUUUUAAGAGGUGGAGAUCAAAGCCGGGGAUUCGCAAGAACCUGGCACUUGAAGAGGGGCCCGCGCCUGAUUAGCUAGUUGGUGGGGUAAUGGCCUACCAAGGCAACGAUCAGUA